GUCAUGCGAGCUAAGCUAGAGCAUAUCAAAACUAACCAGUCACUCAUUUUGAGCAUCAUUUCUCCACAGCAACCACCAAAAGCACCACCACCUCCACAAGAUGGCAAGGGCAAAGGAGCUCUCAUAAAUGACUGACCAGCUUUUAUUUUCAGUUUACAUUUCAUGUUUUUAUUUUUGUUGCUUAGUUAAUUAGUGUUUUUAACUUGUUUAGUUAAUAUU
rnacentral:misc_RNA from 1 species